rnacentral:rRNA from 1 species
CGUAGGGGCCAAGUCGUUGUUCGGAUUUACUGGGCGUAAAGGGCGCGUAGGCGGCGAAUCAAGUCAGCUGUGAAAUCUCCGAGCUUAACUCGGAACGGUCAGCUGAUACUGUUUUGCUAGAGUGCAGAAAGGGCAACCGGAAUUCUUGGUGUAGCGGUGAAAUGCGUAGAUAUCAAGAGGAACACCUGAGGCGAAGGCGGGUUGCUAGGCUGACACUGACGCUGAAGCGCGAAAGCUAGGGUAGCAAACGGGAUUAGAUACCCCGGUAGUCCUAGCCCUAAACGAUGUAUGCUUGGUGUCUGGAGUUUUUAUCUCUGGGUGCCGUCGCUAACGCUUUUAGCAUACCGCCUGGGGAGUACGCACGCAAGUGUG